CAGUCGCCACGGGAAUACGGAGGGUGCAAGCGUUGUCCGGAUUUAUUGGGUUUAAAGGGCGCGUAGGCGGCUAUUUAAGUCAGCGGUGAAAGACUCCGGCUCAACCGGAGCAGUGCCAUUGAUACUGGAUAGCUUGAGUGUUGGAGGGGUACAUGGAAUUGAUGGUGUAGCGGUGAAAUGCAUAGAUACCAUCAGGAACACCGAUAGCGAAGGCAUUGUACUGGCCAACAACUGACGCUGAGGCACGAAAGCAUGGGGAGCGAACAGGAUUAGAUACCCCGGUAGUCCCUGUCUCUUAUAC
rnacentral:rRNA from 1 species